rnacentral:rRNA from 1 species
AAUAUUGGUCAAUGGAGGCAACUCUGAACCAGCCACGUCCGGUGAAGGAUGACGGCCCUACGGGUUGUAAACUUCUUUUAUACAGGAAUAAAGUGAGUCACGGGUGACUUUUUGCAUGUAACGUUUGAAUAAGGAUCAGCUAACGCCGUGCCAGCAGCCGCGGUAAUACGGAGGAUCAAAGCGCUAUCCGGAUUUAUUGGUUUUAAAGGGUGCGCAGGCGGGAGAUUAAGUCGGCGGUGAAAUUAUGCAGCUCAACUGUAAAAGUGCCAUCGUUACUGGUUUUCUUGAGUGUGGAUGAAGUAGGCGGAAUUUAUGGUGUAGCGAUGAAAUGCAUAGAUAUCACGAGGAACUCAGAUUGCGCAGGCAGCCUACUAGGCCAUAACUGACGCUCAGGCACGAAGGCGUGGGGAUCAAACAGG